GAGUUUGAUCCUGGCUCAGGAUGAACGCUAGCGACAGGCUUAACACAUGCAAGUCGAGGGGCAGCGGUGGUGAAGGCUUGCCUUUACCAGCCGGCGACCGGCGCACGGGUGAGUAACACGUAUGCAACCUGCCUGCCACAGCCGGAUAAUCGGGAGAAAUUCCGUCUAAUACGGCAUAAUGCAUCGACGGGACAUCCUGUUGGUGCCAAAGGUUGAUUCCGGUGGCGGAUGGGCAUGCGUCGCAUUAGUUAGUUGGCGGUGUAACGGACCACCAAGACGACGAUGCGUAGGGGUUCUGAGAGGAAGGUCCCCCACACUGGUACUGAGACACGGACCAGACUCCUACGGGAGGCAGCAGUGAGGAAUAUUGGUCAAUGGGCGGGAGCCUGAACCAGCCAAGUCGCGUGAGGGAUGACGGCCCUAUGGGUUGUAAACCUCUUUUGCCGGGGAGCAAAGUGCCGCACGUGUGCGGUUUGGAGAGUACCCGGAGAAAAAGCAUCGGCUAACUCCGUGCCAGCAGCCGCGGUAAUACGGAGGAUGCGAGCGUUAUCCGGAUUUAUUGGGUUUAAAGGGUGCGUAGGCGGACGCUUAAGUCAGCGGUAAAAUUGCGGGGCUCAACCUCGUCGAGCCGUUGAAACUGGGUGCCUUGAGUGGGCGAGAAGUACGCGGAAUGCGUGGUGUAGCGGUGAAAUGCAUAGAUAUCACGCAGAACUCCGAUUGCGAAGGCAGCGUACCGGCGCCCAACUGACGCUGAAGCACGAAGGCGUGGGUAUCGAACAGGAUUAGAUACCCUGGUAGUCCACGCAGUAAACGAUGAAUGCUAGUUGUCCGGGGCGAUUGAGUUCUGGGUGACACAGCGAAAGCGUUAAGCAUUCCACCUGGGGAGUACGCCGGCAACGGUGAAACUCAAAGGAAUUGACGG
rnacentral:rRNA from 1 species